AUCAGAGUUGUUUAUCAGCAGAUUACUUGUAUCCAAAGCAGAAUCUGGGACUUGGAAGGUGGAUCCUUGAAAUCCAAGAGAAGCUUCAAACAUCUACAAAUAUUAAUUUGAAUAGUUAAAUUAAUGCAAAAAUAAAAUAGUCAUGUUGAACUUAGCAAGCAAAGGACACUAAGAGUAACUUAUCUUUGUGAAAGAAAAAUGUACAACUUAAACAAAAUUAAUAUCAUAAACCAACAUAAGAAUUAUUGGCCAUAUCCAAACCCCAGACUAUAGAAGGAAUGAUACAAAUACUGUCAACUACUCUGUUUGAAUUAGUUUAUCCUAAUUUAAUGGAAAACCUCUCCAUCCACAAGAUAAUUGGAUUAAAUUUCCAGGUGUAGCUGUUUCAUUUACUAUAAGAGUGUACGCAUUGUUGUCAAAUUCUGGAGGAUUGUCAUUAACAUCUGUUACUUGAAUUGUAAGUGUAGCUGUCGAAGUUAAAUCAUAUUUUUCACUUG